rnacentral:rRNA from 1 species
AGUCACCGCUAUUGGAGUUCGAUUAAGCCAUGCGAGUCGAGAGUCUUAGGGACUCGGCAGACCGCUCAGUAACACGUAGAUAAUCUGCCCUUGGGUGGGGGAUAACCUCGGGAAACUGAGAAUAAUACCCCAUAGGUCUAAGAUGCUGGAAUGCUUUUAGGCCGAAAAUUCCGGUGCCCAAGGAUGGGUCUGCGGCCUAUCAGGUAGUAGUGAGUGUAAUGGACUCACUAGCCGACGACGGGUACGGGCCUUGAGAGAGGUUGCCCGGAGAUGGACUCUUAGACACGAGUCCAGGCCCUACGGGGCGCAGCAGGCGCGAAAACUUCACACUGCGGGAAACCGCGAUGAGGGAACUCCAAGUGCUAAUACUAAGUAUUAGCUGUUUAGUAGCCUAAAAAGCUAUUAGAGUAAGGGCUGGGUAAGUCUGGUGCCAGCCGCCGCGGUAAUACCAGCAGCCCGAGUGGUGAUCGUUUUUAUUGGGCCUAAAGCGUCCGUAGCCGGUCUAGCAAAUCCUUGGAUAAAUCGUGCAGCUUAACUGUACGGCUCCCGAGGAGACUGCUAGACUUGGGACUGGGAGAGGUCGGAGGUACUCCAGGGGUAGGGGUGAAAUCCUGUAAUCCUUGGGGGACCACCAGUGGCGAAGGCGUCCGACUAGAACGGGUUCGACGGUAAGGGACGAAGCCCUGGGGCGCGAACCGGAUUAGAUACCCGGGUAGUCCAGGGUGUAAACGCUGCGGGCUUGGUGUUGGGGGUCCUACGAGGGCAUCCAGUGCCGAAGAGAAGUUGUUAAGCCCGCCGCCUGUGGAGUACGGUCGCAAGACUGAAACUUAAAGGAAUUGGCGGGGGAGCA